rnacentral:rRNA from 1 species
UGCCUACGGGGCGCAGCAGUGGGGGAUAUUGCACAAUGGGGGAAACCCUGAUGCAGCGACACCGCGUGGGUGAGGAAGCGCUUCGGCGUGUAAAGCCCUAUCAGUGGGGAAGAAAAAGGACGGUACCCAAAGAAGAAGCACCGGCUAAAUACGUGCCAGCAGCCGCGGUAAUACGUAUGGUGCAAGCGUUAUCCGGAAUGACUGGGUGUAAAGGGAGCGUAGACGGCGGCGCAAGUCCGGAGUGAAAGCCCACGGCCCAACCGUGGGACUGCUCUGGAAACUGUGCGGCUUGAGUGCGGGAGGGG